rnacentral:rRNA from 1 species
GAUGAACGCUGGCGGCGUGCCUAAUACAUGCAAGUCGAGCGAACAGACGAGGAGCUUGCUCCUCUGACGUUAGCGGCGGACGGGUGAGUAACACGUGGAUAACCUACCUAUAAGACUGGGAUAACUUCGGGAAACCGGAGCUAAUACCGGAUAAUAUAUUGAACCGCAUGGUUCAAUAGUGAAAGACGGUUUUGCUGUCACUUAUAGAUGGAUCCGCGCCGCAUUAGCUAGUUGGUAAGGUAACGGCUUACCAAGGCAACGAUGCGUAGCCGACCUGAGAGGGUGAUCGGCCACACUGGAACUGAGACACGGUCCAGACUCCUACGGGAGGCAGCAGUAGGGAAUCUUCCGCAAUGGGCGAAAGCCUGAUGGAGCAACGCCGCGUGAGUGAUGAAGGUCUUCGGAUCGUAAAACCCUGUUAUUAGGGAAGAACAAAUGUGUAAGUAACUAUGCACGUCUUGACGGUACCUAAUCAGAAAGCCACGGCUAACUACGUG